rfam:Triticum aestivum genome assembly, contig: Triticum_aestivum_CS42_TGACv1_scaffold_577296_7BL
UUUAUACUCCCUCUGUCCGAAAAUACUUGUCAUCAAAAUGAACAAAAAAAGAAUGUAUCUAGAACUAAAAUACAUCUAGAUACAUCCCCUUUUCUUCAUUUUGAUGACAAGUAUUUUCGGACGGAGGGAGUAUUAU